GAUUUUGUGUGCAGGAAGUAGUGGAUGCUACACCAAAGACAGUGCCUAAAGGAAGACAAAAAGAGUGUGUCUCAGUCCAUUUCAUCUGCAUCUUCAUAAAGUCCUUCAGGCAGACAGAGACACAGUCGUGCAGAGGCAGCCGAGGCGCUGAGGACGCAGCUAGCAGCAGCACUUGACCUGGACUCGAACACAACACAGAGGCUCAGACUUUGGCAUGAAUUCAGCAUUCAGAUCAUAGGAUAAAAUCAAAAAGGAACAACCUCCAAAUGAACCGAACUAUUUAUUGGACUCUUUAUUGGACCGCCAUGACGGAGGUUGCUAGGAGAUUUUCACGAAGCACCCCAAUAAAUCAGACACACAGACUUGUGUCAGCAUGACGUAAGAUGUGUCAUUUGUCUUUUUCACACACGCAGAG